rnacentral:rRNA from 1 species
UGAGGAAUAUUGGUCAAUGGACGUAAGUCUGAACCAGCCAAGUAGCGUGCAGGAUGACGGCCCUAUGGGUUGUAAACUGCUUUUAUGCGGGGAUAAAGUGAGGGACGUGUCCCUUUUUGCAGGUACCGCAUGAAUAAGGACCGGCUAAUUCCGUGCCAGCAGCCGCGGUAAUACGGAAGGUCCGGGCGUUAUCCGGAUUUAUUGGGUUUAAAGGGAGCGUAGGCCGGCUUUUAAGCGUGUUGUGAAAUGCCGCGGCUCAACCGUGGCACUGCAGCGCGAACUGGAGGCCUUGAGUGCGCGGGAGGUAGGCGGAAUUCGUGGUGUAGCGGUGAAAUGCUUAGAUAUC